AUCGAACGCUGGCGGCAGGCCUAACACAUGCAAGUCGAACGAGUGGCGGACGGGUGAGUAAUGUCUGGGAAACUGCCCGAUGGAGGGGGAUAACUACUGGAAACGGUAGCUAAUACCGCAUACUAUCGGAUGUGCCCAGAUGGGAUUAGCUAGUAGGUGGGGUAACGGCUCACCUAGGCGACGAUCCCUAGCGGGCCUGAGAGGAUGACCGGCCACACGGGAACUGAGAAACGGUCCAGACUCCUACGGGAGGCAGAAUUGGGGAAUAUUGGAAAAUGGGCGAAAGCCUGAUGAAGACAGGCGGCGUAGAUGAAGAAGUCCUUCGAGUUGUAAAGUACUUUCAGCGAGGAGGCGUUACUCGCAGAAGAAGCGCCGGCUAACUCCGUGCCAGCAGCCGCGGUAAUUC
rnacentral:rRNA from 1 species